rnacentral:tRNA from 1 species
GGGUAUAGCUCAGUUGGUAGAGUAGCGGUCUCCAAAACCGUUGGUCGAGGGUUCGAGUCCUUCUGCCC